ensembl:lncRNA
CUGAUUUAUAUUUUGUUUGAAAGAUGUUUAAACAUUCAGUUAUAGAUUUUAUUGAGUUAAAUCCAAACAAAAGAAAGAAAUAUCGUCUAGCUAUAGACAGUCAUUGUUCAUACAACCCCCAGUCAGCAGGACUGGUAGAAAAGAAUGAACCGACCUGUUAAAAGCAAUUUGAGAAUCUUAGAGUGAAAUUAGUGAUAUUAAGCAUGAAUGUUGUUAUCACUGUUUGAAAUGAUGUAUGGAAGAAUCUACACUGCCUCAGCACUCAAACCAUUUGCUGAAACAGACUAAGAGAUUGAAUAUACAUUUGCAGAAUAUAUGGCAAAAAUGUGAAUUAGCAAAAUGCUCUCAGAACUCUCUGUGCUCCGCAGGAACCUGUGAAGCUGAAACCAAGGUUGGGCCAGGAGAUUGGGUCCUAAUCAACAGCCUCCAAAGAAAACACUGCCACUUGCCCAAGUGGGACAGACCCUACAAAGUGCUACUGUCAACAUUUACCACAGUCAAAAUAGCGGAGAGAGCCACCUGGAUACAUCUAACACAUUGUAAACGAGUAAGCCUUCUUUAGAAAGAGACAGAGGAUAGGAGCUGUCUUCCUCUACAGUUUUCCAAGGCCGGGCCACUGUGACAGAAGUCCAGCUACAAAGGGGAUUCUUUGCGUUAGGCAAUUUUUCGUCUCAAACCUGGUGAAGAAAACUACACUGUCCAGGCACCGGUCUUGGUCAAAUGUCCGCGAUGGGGCCUACCUAAAGAUCAUCCGUGGUGAUGGGAAAACCAGACUGCCCAAACACACUUUCCACAAAGAGACUGUUUACAUUUUCCUGCCCAGUAAUAUUCAACAGCCGAUGUGAUCUGCAGAAUGCCUGAUGGGGAACAGGGCCUUCAAGGACACAGCAAAGAGGCCUUGUUUGAAUGUUAUCUGAAGCCUAGGUGAGCUAAUGACACACACACACACACACACACAUACACACACACACACACACACACACUCACACUCGACACCCACUAUGUUGGCCUACAAAUGCAAAUUAUACAAAUGUGUGAUGUGAAAUAUGAUGAUUGACUUAUGAUGAGAUGAAAUAAUGCUCAGUAAUGAUCUCUGUUCCGAAAAUCCAUGUGAUGAAGCUCAGAGUGAUGAUUUUGAGGUUAUCCAUUGAAAUUGAUAAUUGACGAAUUAAGAAAAGAUGAUUUGUGAUUUUGAUGGUGAUUUUGAAUUAUCCAUUGAAACGGAUAAAAGGAGGGACUGAUGGAGAUAAUUUCCAAACACUGUUAAUGACUUAAGAAUAUAAUAAUCAAGUGCUUUGUAUUAAUAUAUUCCUUGUAUGAAUCAUGUGCUUAUGAAAGCAGGAACAUGGCUUUUCUGCAUGUGUGUAACUUAGAAUAUUAAGUGCCACUUAGUCUGCAUAUGUACAAGAGCAUGUUUAGACCAGAAGUGAUAAGAAGGGUCGAACUGUGCUUCUUCCGACCUUGCAAAACUUCCAUCCUUGCCUCGGACAUCAGAAAUCCACCACGUGGUUUUCCCUGCUGAACGCUCAACUUCUGUCUAUAUAAACCUUGUGCGAUGUGUUUAUCAUUGCUUCACUUUCAGCCUUGUGCUGGGAGUGAGCCCGAUUGCAAUUGUUGUUUGUCUAAUAAAUAUACUUAUAUGCAGCUCCGGAGUCCUGAGGUAACUAGGGUGAAUUUUCACCUAUCAAUGUUGAUGAAGGAGAAGAUGAUGUUGAUGAAGGAGAAGAGGGAACCUCCAGCUCUGAGUGGCAGGCA